AGCUCAGUCGGUAGAGCAGGGGACUGAAAAUCCCCGUGUCGGCAGUUCGAUUCUGCCCCUGGCCA
rnacentral:tRNA from 1 species